GGAAUGGUUUAUGUUUCAAAUAAUUUAUUGCCGUAGGAUGGGACUGCGGCCUAUCAGUUUGUUGGUGAGGUAAUGGCCCACCAAGACUAUUACAGGUACGGGCUCUGAGAGGAGUAGCCCGGAGAUGGGUACUGAGACACGGACCCAGGCCCUAUGGGGCGCAGCAGGCGAGAAAACUUUGCAAUGUGCGAAAGCACGACAAGGUUAAUCCGAGUGGUUUCUGCUAAAGGAACCUUUUGUCAGUCCUAGAAACACUGAUGAAUAAGGGGUGGGCAAGUUCUGGUGUCAGCCGCCGCGGUAAAACCAGCACCUCAAGUGGUCAGGAUGAUUAUUGGGCCUAAAGCAUCCGUAGCCUGCUUUGUAAGUUUUCGGUUAAAUCCAUACGCUCAACGUAUGGGCUGCCGGGAAUACUGCAAAGCUAGGGAGUGGGAGAGGUAGACGGUACUCGGUAGGAAGGGGUAAAAUCCUUUGAUCUAUUGAUGACCACCUGUGGCGAAGGCGGUCUACCAGAACACGUCCGACGGUGAGGGAUGAAAGCUGGGGGAGCAAACCGGAUUAGAUACCC
rnacentral:rRNA from 1 species